UACGGGGGGGGCAAGCGUUGUUCGGAAUUACUGGGCGUAAAGGGCUCGUAGGCGGCCAACUAAGUCGGAUGUGAAAUCCCCAAGCUUAACUUGGGAACUGCAUCCGAUACUGGAUGGCUUGAAUCCGGGAGAGGGAUGCAGAAUUCCAGGUGUAGCGGUGAAAUGCGUAGAUAUCGUAAGGAAGACCAGUGGCGAAGGCGGGUCUCUGGACAGUUCCUGACGCUGAGGCACGGAGGUCAGGGGAGCAAACAGG
rnacentral:rRNA from 1 species